CCCCCGCCCCGCCCCGCCCCUGCUGCAGCCCGCCGUCGCCCCACCCUCGCUCGCCGCUGCGGAUCCACCACCGCCCCUCUACAGCCCGACGUCCCGUCCCGUGUCACACCACGAGCCUCUUGCCGGCGGGCUGGGCCCUCCUCGCGCUGGUACUUGCUCUGGGAAGAGCAGGAGGGGUGCUGGAGCAGUGGUCGUGGCGUCCCCGGGUGCCUGCCGCCCUCCCCGGGCACAAGGUCGCCGUUAGCCCCCCGACCCCCCAGCGCACAAGGUCGCCGUCAGCCCCACGCCCCCCCAGCGCUGGUCUCUGGUAGUCACCAUCGUUGAUGGAGUAGGAGUACACGCGGAGGUCGGGAAGGGGCAUGGUCUUGCAGGCCAGGUCUGAGUUGGUGUGCGUGUGCUCUCCUACCACCGGUGCCAGGCCACUGUACGGGUGUCCGGUGUCCCUGUUGCGGCUCCAGGAUUUCGCCGGGAGCUCCUGUGCUGCAGUUUUGCUCAGAGUUUUGAGGAUAAUAUAUCUCUACUUCUCCCCUCCUGAACUCAGAAGCAGUAGAUAAAUUUUUGUGACCACUACAUUCAGGAAUAAUUGACUGAAAGGAACAAUUUGAUUUGAAAAGGCAAUCAAUCUACAUAAAUCAUGGCACAAUUAUCUAAAUUAUCCGGAGCGGGUUGAUUGUGUGGAGUUGCAAGCAUAAUUUGUUGUAAUGUAGUUUCAAAGAUGAUUUAGACAAAAAAAACACCACCAAGCAUUGCAAAUGACGAGGUAGAAAAAAAUUUAGAUUUGCUAGCAAAUGACAAAACCAAAUCAGAUGGCUUACUGGAGGUUCUUGGUUCAGGUUGUUAGAUGGAAGGACAAGGCGGUGGCGAUGGAGACGGGGAGUCGAUUAGGAAGGAGAAAGAGUUUGUGCAACUGCUGCUCAGUGCGAAAAACAGAGGUAAAUAAAUUUAUUGUUCAGGUGGCGAGAUUCAGUCUCCCUAAUUUGUAUUCAGCGAUGAACUACUGAAUGGUGUUGCUAAAUUCAUGGCAUGAGUUGUCAAGGAGGAUGUCAAAGUGUGGGAGGUUGCAGUCUUGCAGGAGAUUAGCCUUACCUUGGCAAAUUAGCUUGCGGUCCUGAAGCUGAAAGACAGAUCCUAAAGUUGGCUUCACUUGGUAGUAACUAUGGAAACCUCAAGAAUGUUGUUGACGCCCCGAAGGCUUUUGAGUUGUAUUGUCAGGUUUUAUCAGGCAUGAAGGUGGCGUGGGCCAGCAAGGAGUCUGGGGGUUCAGCAGGACAUCCUUGCAGGAGUAGUCGAGCAGAGGCUGACACUGGCCAAUAUGACCAGCAUUGCCACAGAUCGCCUCCAUGUGGGCUGCUGUUGCAAAGUCACGGUGCUGCACCUCAGCGAAUUCAGCAGGAGCAAUUCAUUCCCCACCCAAGUGUUUAUUAUUGAUCAUUGCUGCUUCAUCUGUUUAUUCUCAUCUAACUAAUAUAUUUACGGACUUUUUGUAUGUUUGGCUAAUUCUUCUUUAUCUUAUGGGGCUUUGCUGUGAAAGAAAGAUAAAGUUCAAAGAGUUCAAUUUAGAGUUAGUGUAGUUUCCCCGGAAGAAAAAAGAGAGAAUUGGUGCAGUGUCUCAUGCCUAUUGGACUCAGUCUAUUACGCUCACUAAGUAUAUACAUGUAUGCUGCAGAGACGUGGUCACAUGGCUGAUUAACAUCUUUUGGCAACAUCAUGUUAAUUCAAUGAAAAAAUUCUACUACACCUAUGACUAUGAACGUAGAUGUGCACUCUUGAUUUUUGAGGACUACUUUAGGAUGUGAUCAUUGGUGUUGCUUCACACUUUCUAGACAACAUAACAUUUUAUUGUUACUAAUGUGAAAAUCCAACUUACUAUUUUUCUAUUACAGUGUGUUCAGCCACUAUCAGACUUUGGUGGCAUGCUCCAGCUGCCAAACUAUGCUCUGCCAACCUACCGAUGGAAAGGCGAGGCUCACCAAGGGAUGCCUUAUUAUGGCAAAAAAUGAAGCCCUUCUUGAGAUUGUUUACUACUACGUAUCCUCGAUGUGGGGAGACCGACCACAAGAGGGUAAUCGGUCUUAUGUCACCUUUAUCUUCGCAGGAGUCAGGAGCAAGCAAAUUACUUUGACAUUUAGCAUAUAUUUACUAGAGUUUCAGAAGGUCAAUAAUACCCAAUGCAUUGCCUUCCAUGACCUACCUUGGUCUAUUCUCAUGGGUGAUCUGCUAACUCAUUUUAAUUCGGUGCCUAGGUACUAUUUCCUUCGGCAUUCUGUUUUAUAAUAUUUAGUACCAUUGGUGCAACUUAAUAUGCAAAGCCUGAGCUUUGUUCAAGUUGCCAAGCAAAUACCUGUGCUAAUUCUCACAAGAAACUUAUGUUUCCCCUGUUUUCAAAUACAUGUACACAAUAAAGUUUUCACUUCGGAAGCACCAAAACCUUUUAUAGCUGCAUGUAAAUACUCCUCCGUUCCUAAAUAUUUGUCUUUUUAGAGAUUCAAAUAGACUACCACAUAUGGAUGUAUAUAGACAUAUUUUAGAAUGUAGAUUCACUCAUUUUGCUCUGUAUGUAGUCACUUGUUGAAAUCUCUAGAAAGACAAAUAUUUAGGAAUGGAGGGAGUAUUUUCUUAGACAUACAGUAAUGCUUCAUUUUUAUUUUAUAAGAGAAAUAAUAGAACCUUUAUUGUAAUGAUGUAUAGCUUCAUUUUACAUAGAAAAUACUGCCUGAAUUAAUCCAUUGAGACCGAAUGAAAAUUAAGCUACA